UACGUAGGGUCCAAGCGUUAUCCGGAAUCACUGGGCGUAAAGCGUGCGUAGGUGGUUGCUUAAGUGAGUUGUUAAAUCGUGUGGCUCAACCAUAUCGAUGCAAUUCAUACUGGGCGACUAGAGGACAGCAGAGGCAAGUGGAAUUUGUAGUGUAGCAGUGAAAUGCGUAGAUAUUACAAGGAACACCAAUGGCGAAGGCAGCUUGCUGGGCUACUCCUGACACUGAGGUACGAAAGCGUGGGGAGCGAACAGG
rnacentral:rRNA from 1 species